GGAGGAGCCGGAGCGGUAAAAUGGCGGCGGGAAGGGAGCGAGCAUGUCUUCCUUCAAGCACCACACUUCCUUUGUUACUAACAGUUCCUUACGCGCUUCACACGAAGUCCUGUCCCCUCUCCAAGCACUGUUCCCUCUGCAUUCUUAACAGCCCCUCCAGACGAUGCCCAGCAGAGUUGAGGGCAGAACUCUGCUGAGGAGAGUCACUGCUCCCUCAGAUAAGCGGGAGCCUCCCUGCCUGCUACCUGCCCCACGGAGAUAGGGCUGUGUGGGGUAUGGGCCGUGUGUUUGUGUCCCUCACACCCUGCCAGCCUUGUAGCUAUGGCGUAACAUUGGCCUGGGGUGGUUUGUGAGGAGACACAAGGGCAGCCAUUACUCAGGUGGAGGACAGCAUUAGUGGGUCAUCUACACAGCCUCACAGCCCUAGCAAGCAGCCCCACCUUGGGAAGAUUUUCAAGCACUUUUACGUUAUGUUUUUUCUUGACUAAAUCAGCCAAGUGAGAAGGCAGCCCUGCUCCCUCACCUCUAGCCCAGCCUGUACGUUUCUAGCAGCUCCUCUGGCCCUCAUCUGGUUCAGCUAACCCCAUAUUGAAACCCAUGGGGAACAGAUGGUUUCAGUCUCCUCAUGAUUCUCUGAGGAUGCUAAAGAACCACAUGCAGCUCUGAGAUAGCUGGGAAGAUUGCUACCCAUGUGCUCUCUCAGUACCCAGCCUUUGGUUGCUUUCCCACGUUGCCAGCCCUACAGCACACGAUCAGCUCUGAAGGUUAAUUGUAGAAUGGCUUCAGUUGGAAGGGACCUUAAAGAUCAUCAAGCUCCAACCCCCCUCCAUGGAUCAUUACUUACCCAAAACAUUAUCACCCUGUCGGUCAAACUCCUCUUGGCUCCACUGCAAAAGGCUUCCUUGUUUUCCAGUUAGGGCUGGUUAGUGUUUGUGUACAGCCAUGGCCUUGGCUCAGUUUGCACAGGUAUAGCUGCCUGGAACUCAUUAAACAGCUUCACUGAUAAUUCCAGAGGACAGGCAUGGCCAGGGAAGACAGUCAUGGCCAGGUUUCUACUUUUAGCAGCAGGAUGUCACCAUCACCGCUACAGAUCGGAGUAUGUCACUCCAGCUCUGUAAACUGAACAUUGGCUGCUGAAAGAAAAACAACUUUUCCUCUGCUGUGGUGUUUUGUGGCUUUGGUGUGUGUUUGUGUGUUUGUUUGUUUUGGUUUGGUUUUGCUUUUCUAGAAUCAAGCAUUGAUUUUUAAUGGCUCACUAAGAUGGAAGAGGCAGCAGAGAAAAAUGCUCUCCAAUGCCAGAAAACACGAUAGCAACUGAGUGAUCUCAGAUGACUGCUCUGAUACGUGUGCCAAUGAGCAGGCAGAUCUGGCUUCAAAGCAAAAUUCAGAGGAUGGAUGCAGCAGCUUCCAAAGAAGCCCGAAUAUAUUUGUGGCUUAGAUGUGUGGAGAGAAGCCUGAUAGCUCUGAAGAAAAUUGAAUUUGCAGCACAAAAAGAUGGCUUCUGAAUGAAGAUUAAUGUGUGUGCACGGUCAAUAAACUCCUGAUGACACGUUAACAGCUUUAGCUCCGCUGAUGUUGUUUUCCUGCCUUAGGCAUGGUACCUCAGCAGAGAGCUCCGGCGAUAAGUCAGAUCCAUCCAUAUCCAGAAGCGAAGGGCCAGCUGCGGGCAAGAGGAGAUGCUCAUGCAGAGCUCACAGCAGGAUAGAGGCCAAAAUGACCUUGCUGGGGAGUGACGAAAUGCUCAGAUAUAUAUACAGCACUGCAGAAAGCACCAGGAGGUAAACUGAUUCUCCUCCAUUCACCCUUCUUUUUCAUAGAGAUGGAAGGUCAACAUGUGUGCUUGCUUUUUUUCUGUCUGUCUGCCUGUCCUUCUUUCUGUCUGUCUUUCAUUUUAAAAGCUAACAUUGCAAAGGAAAAGUUUUUCUUCUAUCAGCAAAUGUACAGGAGAUAAACAUGCUGUAUGCUGUGUUAUUAAAUACACAAAGGGAAGACGUAAAUGUUUCCAUAGUAACAUCUCUUUGCACAGUCUAGCUGGCCUGUAUAUGACGCUCAGGGACUGUCAAGGGGGGAGGCACUUGUGGUGCUGCAUAGCGGGAAGCGAGGAGGGGGAUGUGGGGGAUAUGCAUUGCCAGGGCAUUACCAGGGCCAGGAAGAUAACCAGCAACAGUAAUGCAGAUGGAGAUGCUGGCCCCUUCCUGGAAUGCUGAGGCAGCCAGGAGGGUUUGCAGGCCCCAUGGUGGCUCUGUCAGAGUGCCUUGGGCUCCUGCAGGGUCUCACACCCCGGGGGGGGGGGGGGGUCCUGGUGAUAAUUUCUGUCCUUUGAAGCUUCCAUUCAUGGGCGGGACAACAGGAAACAAACCCCAGGCAUGCAGCCUAACUCUACACUUCAGUGAGCAAAGAAUUUCCAGACACCAGGAGGAAAUUUUCUGGCAGAGAGUGUUGAGGGAAACACAAAGAUGGAUUGAGGCAAAGUGCUUAUAAAGUCUGAGCAAUUUUGAGGGAGAAUUACCUACAGUCUCUGCAGUUCAGGGUAAUUUGCAGUGCUUGGUUGCUUCUCCCCUCAUGCGGCACAAACGGAUAACUGGAGAAUUGGUUCUGCCAGAUCCUCGUUGUAAGCUCUUUAAGGAUUGCUUUAUAGACCUUCCAUUUUAAAACCGGGUGAAGAGAUGAAUAUAUGUGAUUAAAGAUCGAGCUGGGAAGUAUUAGUGUCCAUUUUUUAUUAUGUACAAACAAAAAAUAAGUUAGCCAUAUGCUGUGCCUCGUUUGUUUUGGACUGGUGCACCAAAUGGAAUCUCUAAUAAAUCAUUCAUCGCUUACCCACCCCCUCACUUUCUUAUGUUUCCAUCCUGAUAGGUAAAUAUCACUGACAUUUGAAAGGAGGCUAAUAAAAAAAAAAGGAUUAAAUCUGCAAUUUACAUUUGCAACUUGCAGUUCAAUAAUUUCAGACAGAUAUGGAAACACUCCUGGUUGUCCACCUACAUUCUUCUUGCUGAGCAAAAGCAGGCAUGCCAAGCACAUGCUGAUAGCUCACAAAAUACAUUUCUCCAGAGGCUCAGUUACUCAGAGCUGGACAGGCUGCGGCCAGCUGCCAUGAGGAAAAACAUUGUGCAAAUCCAGUAAGAGGGAGGUGAGAUUUAACUUGUAACUUGCCCAAGCAUGAAUUUCCUGAGCAAAGCUACAACGGGUUGCAAAUGAUGUUUAGCAAAAAAUAUGUGCGAAGGGGAAGGGAGCUGACUUUUGUUCAGAGCAUCUGGGGAUUUGGGGGUUUUCUCAUCUUCCAGACGCAUUUUAUUCUGAUGAAAGGACUUGAGGGUCAAGUAUAAUCCCUUGUGUGUAUUAGCACACAUGGGAGCAGCUUAGCACGCAAACGAAAGCCUUCCAGUUGUCCAAACAAUAAAAGAACAGAAUCAUAUCUCAUUGGAAACUGCUGUUCUUCACCAGGGCUCAAUUAUGCAGACCCAGUGCAGAUGCGUGUGCACUCAGCACCCACUGAAGUGAAGAUGCCUCAGCAGCAUCUGCUGGAGCCACACAUGCCAGGUGCCUCGUGCCUUGCUGUGAAACAGGAUGAGGAGAGUGACAAUGCAAAUGCUUUUUUUUUGUCUUUAACUUUCCAGGAGUUGGGAUCACUGAUCCUUACGAGUCUCUUCCAACUUGGGAUAUUCUGUGAUGCUACAACUCUAACUUCAUGUAACUUCAGAGCGUAUUGAAAGGCAAGGAGGAGAAACUGCAAAUGCGUGUACUCUGUUAAUGAAAUCAAACAGGAUCCUGAGGAUAUCUUGUAUGUGUUGGUCUCUGCUGCUGGCAGAUUCAGCAGGAGCACAGGCAUACCAGGCAGUUCAGGCAGAACUCUUCAGCUCACCUGGGGAUCAAUCAGAGUUGAGGCUGUAGCUCCCUGGGUCCAUAGGGAACACUGUAGCCAUUAUUUUGUAAUCCUUCUCCACUCUGUAAGCAAAAGCUCUUGGCGGCUGGAAUUUACCAGCAGACUUUAAUCUGUUUCAAUAUAUGUGUUUGUUUAUGGGGGAGGAGGGGGAAAUUCUUGGUGGAUGUUGAUAUGUUCCGGAUACCAAGCUGAUAACCUUUGCCUUAGAGACUCUCAUUUUUCCCUCCUGAGGUCUCUGCACUGGGAUAUUUGGCAAAGGAAAGAAGAUUCUUCCAGAAGUCUGCUCUGCUCCCUACACUUCAGCCUGGGGUGGUGGCUGGCAUGGGCAGCCUUGGCACAGCCUCCUUAGGUGCGUUAUGGAGGGAUUGGCUAUGGACUAGCUAGAGAAUAGUCACUCUAAAUACCUUGUGGCCAAAGCAUUGUCUUGAGUAGAUGUCGUGGUUUCUCAGCCUGCUGCCCCUCUCAUUUGUGCCACUGUGGUGCUUGGUGAGGGAGCUUUGCAGUGCUGCCGGCAGGAAGAUGUUUCUGAGCUUGACUUUUGUGUGAGCUCUGUCUGAGGAACCAGGCACAGCAACCCACCUGUGCCAGGGGGUAUUGCUGGCCUGCUCUUUCAGCAUUCAGAGGGUGAGAGCUUUCCUGGGAUUGUGACAAAGGUGGGCAUCUCCUCUGGGUCUGAGGCAAUGUAGGCGCUGUUCAGGAAGGUAACAUCUGAACGUCUUGGUCAGGAGUUCUCAAUGACACUCACUGAUCUUCAAGCUGAACACUCACCAGAAAAGCGAGUCUCCCUGAGGCAGUGCAUAUUCCAUCUGACCAUAAAAGGGCUGAGUUUGUCCCAAGCCACUCAGUUUGGGAGAACACUGUGCCCACAACACCACACAUCUUCCUUUGCAGUGCAUAGUGAUGAAGAUGGAUCACUCUUCCUACUUUCUCUUCUUAUGCAAGAUAGCAAUUAGUGUUUUGUUGUUGUUGUUGUUGUUUUUAAGAGGGUUGUUAUUACACAUCACUAGUUCGUUGUUCAAGAAAAGGCACUGUCCUAGAUGCUUGCUGCUGUCCCUUUGUGGUGAUUUAGGAAUGAAGGGAAGAUUUGUGACUUGGUCACGCGCUUGCCUCAGCAAAACCCAACCUCCACUUGAAUGCCAAGAAGCUGGGACCCCAGCCAACACUCUCUGACAAGCAACGUGGGAGUGAUGUUCUGUGGGAUUACUGCAUCUUCUGUAAUCUUUGCUUUGGCAUAUCUCAAGCCCUCUGACAGCAUGUCACCACUGCUAUAAACAACCAGGAGCCUGAACAUAAUUCAGAUGAUAUUAUCUAGGUAGCUGAAGGUAGUUAUGUCCAAGGCCAUAACUAACCGCCGCACUAAAUAAAUUCAAGAAGUUGAAGGCAAAAAUGUCUCUUUGCCAUAGUCCUUCCAGGAAUGAUUGCAUCUUUGCCUUUCAAAGGAGCCUGCCUACAGCGCAUUGUGAGUUCUGACAAAAUGUCUGGCAUGGGACCAGGUAAAGAGCCAAUGCACUCCAUCAUUUGCCAUCUGUGCCUUUGUAUCUGUUGCCUACUAUGAUCAUGUCCCUUGCAAUACUGAGCAGAAUGAGACAAGGAAGCCUUACGGGACUGGGAUCAUUGCAGUGGGAUGUCUAACAGGGCAGUAUGUCACUGCUGCCUUUGCUUCUGUGGAAUGGCAAUGAUUCUACCACAAGAGGCAGGGGUAGGGGUGGGCUUAAAACACUUAAAAACUCAAAAAAAACCCCAAACCCAGAAAACUUAUGGAAGCAACUUUUGCUUGUUAUUCAUAUGGAGAAGGCUUUUCAUGAGGAACGUGGAUAGAAUUUAUAGACAUACGUGUAUAUAUAUAUAUACACAUACAUACAUAUUUCCCCUGAGAAGUUUAGCACUGAGUUUGAAAAGACAGAUUGAAUUGCUACUUAGCUACUGGAGCCAGGGAAAUUGAACCAGCAAAAUAAAAACCCAUCUGACUUUUUUAGUGUGCUUAAAGUGAUUGUGUUCAGACAGCGACUACUGCACAAGUACUUUGGAAAGCUUAAGAUGGAGAAAAGUUUGAGUUCCAUAUGCCAAACUCCUGCUCUCCCGCUAUCCGUAAAAUGACAAGAAUACUUUCUAUGAAUGGAACGACUUCAAGAUCUCUGCUUUACCCUUUGGUCUGACCAGUCUCUUCAGCCUCACCAUUUGCAAGGUUAUUGCACAGGAUCACAUACUACAAAGAUAUUAUUAGCCUGCUCACCACUCCAUUUCUGGCUCAGUGACUUGUGAAUAACGCUGUCCUUCUCAGAGUAUGCUAAUAAAACUACUACACCAUGAUUGCAUAGAGGACAUACUUGUUGCAUGACAACUAUUUUAAGAAGGUUUUGUAUCUUUUGAAUUUUUAAAUGUAAGCUUGGCUACAUUCAUUUCCAGGCCAAGACUGUGCUUAUUUAACAAGGUAUGCUCUCAUAAACUGCUUGUUCGUUAGGCUAAGAACAAAAGAGAACCGGAGUGUUUGCAGAGAGCCAUUUGUGCUGUUCUUUGCAGCAACCUUUUGCAUACAUGAAAUAAUUACCAUGACUCCACUCAAUUAUUUCUUCUCUCCAUUAAACAAACCCUAUCUUUUGAUCUCACUGUGCAUGCCGGGACAGCUUUUAUGCAAAAGUGCAAACUGCUACAUACAUUAAAUAUGGAUUGCAAGCCCUAAGCUUUCCAAGGGCAUUAAUGCGAGGGGUGUCAUAGCUGGCACAGCUUCCACAGAGCAGCUUGUAUUAGCUGUUCCCAUAAGAGACCAUAUGAUGUGAAAUAUGCUUGAUCUCACCUGAUCUGUUUCUAUCACGGAACAGAUUAAAGGGAAAAAAAAAUAGACAAGGGGUAUCAGGAAUGCUAGAGAUGGAGACUCCGUUUCUAACACAGCAUAUCCUCCAAGCUAGUUAAAUGGUAAUUGCUUAGCCCUCAUUAAAACAAUUCUCACAGGAUGUCUUUACCCUAGCGUGUCUUUUGAGAAUUAAGGAGCAGGGAUUCAUCAGAAGUGGCAUCACUUCAUGGUUCUCUUUAUGUCAAACACUUCCCCCACCUCCCCAAGCAGACACAUAAAACUGGGGCUUGCUGCGUGCCGGAGCUAUAGCAACUUCCUCACCGCCCCAAGGCUGAUGCUUGGAUAAAACAGGAGCGCACUUGGGCAUGUAGAAACAAAGGUGUCACUGAGCCAAGGGCAGGGAAAGGCUGUGCAGGAAAGUCAGUAUUAAAAGAUGCACGGAAGCCUGUGAAGUCUGGAGAACCACAUGAAGCACGGGUGCUGGCCCAGGCAUGUGAGCUAUCAGAGAAAGGAGACAAGGCGGAGAGCCAUCAUUAUCUUGUGACUGGUGCAAGCACUGACAGGAGCAAGCGUGCUGCAGCACCAACCUACUUGUUCUCAAGGCAGCUGCAGAGCGCCCCAAGCUGCAAAUGGAAAGCAGGGAAUCAGCAAGGGGCAUGACCGUCCCCUGAGAACCGUGUGGUGCAGAAAGCUGUCAGCAGAAAGGUGACGCCCCUCCCUGGCACAAAAACAGAGAGAUGUUCCUUUGUUUAUAAACACAUCAGAGACAAACAGGUUACUGUGGAAAGUCAUUUUAUUUCAGAAUGUCACGCACUCUGUCACAGACCAUGCACUUGAGACUUUCCCCUUUACAAGUCCACAGCCUCCAGACCUAGGAGCAACAGGGCAUCAUCUCUUCACUGCACACUGCGAGUACCCACACACACACA